rnacentral:misc_RNA from 1 species
UGUCUGGGGAUCAAUCGAUCAGCAAAAGAACCCUAGCGGGAUAGGAAAUGACAAAUGUUGAAGAAAGAAAGGUUAAUUAGGGUAUUGUCCGUGGUUUUAUAGUGUAAAUUAGGGUUUACAUGGAAAUAAAACCCUUGUAAAACCCCGAGGAAUGGAAAGAAGGUGAGAUUUGAGAGCUCCAAAGAGCAAGGCGUCACUUUU